GACAGAGGGUGCAAACGUUUGUUCGGAAUUACUGGGCGUAAAGCGUGUGUAGGCGGUCCACUAAGUCGGGUGUGAAAGCCCUGGGCUCAACCCAGGAAGUGCACUCGAAACUGGCGGGCUAGAGUAUCGGAGAGGUUGGUGGAAUUCUCGGUGUAGAGGUGAAAUUCGUAGAUAUCGAGAGGAACACCGGUGGCGAAGGCGGCCAACUGGACGAAUACUGACGCUGAGACACGAAAGCGUGGGGAGCAAACAGG
rnacentral:rRNA from 1 species